AGCCGCCGCGGUAAUACGAAGGGGGCUAGCGUUGCUCGGAUUUACUGGGCGUAAAGGGCGCGUAGGCGGAUGACCAAGUUGGGGGUGAAAUCCCGGGGCUUAACCUCGGAACUGCCUCCAAAACUGGUCGUCUUGAGUUUGGGAGAGGUGUGUGGAACUCCGAGUGUAGAGGUGAAAUUCGUAGAUAUUCGGAAGAACACCAGUGGCGAAGGCGACACACUGGCCCAAUACUGACGCUGAGGCGCGAAAGCGUGGGGAGCAAACAGG
rnacentral:rRNA from 1 species